CAAACUUCAAACCAAAAUAUUGAAAUCAUCUCAUAGUAGUAAUGAUGUAAAUCAAAACAUGCCUUAGAGGGAAUAUUAUUUGUACAAUUCAAUCUUUACAUCACAUAAUAGUAUUAUAACUCAAGAAUAUGAAGUUAGGGUAUGAACCCUAAUUGCAAUUUAUGUAAAUUCAACUUUAAAACUAGUUUUGGGCAUAAGGAUAAAAGAGUAUCCUUGUUUAUAAACUCCACAUACCUUGU
rnacentral:lncRNA from 1 species